rnacentral:rRNA from 3 species
AAAUCGCCUCUUGAUAAGAUAUAAGAGGUCCAGCCUGCCCAGUGACACAGUUAAACGGCCGCGGUACCCUGACCGUGCGAAGGUAGCAUAAUCACUUGUUCCCUAAAUAGGGACUUGUAUGAACGGCAUCACGAGGGCUUUACUGUCUCCUUUCUCCAAUCAGUGAAACUGAUCUCCCCGUGAAGAAGCGGGGAUUUUACCAUAAGACGAGAAGACCCCAUGGAGCUUUAAACCCAACGACACCCCUCAACCCCCUAGCCCCUCAUAGUUGCUACAGCCCUGUUCGUUGGUUUUAGGUUGGGGUGACCGCGGAGUAUAGAUAAACCUCCACGACGAAUGGGACUACCCCCUUACCCAAGAGCUACUCCUCUAAGGAUCAAUAAAUUGACGUAUCAUGAUCCAAGUAUUUGAUCAACGGACCAAGUUACCCUGGGGAUAACAGCGCAAUCCAUUUCAAGAGCCCCUAUCGACAAAUGGGUUUACGACCUCGAUGUUGGAUCAGGGUAUCCAAGUGGUGCAGCCGCUACUAAUGGUUUGUUUGUUCAACAAUUAAAACCCUACGU